UACAGAGGUGGCUAGCGUUGUUCGGAUUUAUUGGGCGUAAAGGGUCCGUAGGCGGUCCAAAAAGUCGGAUGUGAAAUCCCACAGCUUAACUGUGGAACUGCAUUCGAAACUCUUGGACUAGAGUGUGAGAGGGGUGAAGGGAAUUCCCGGUGUAAGGGUGAAAUCUGCAGAGAUCGGGAGGAACACCAGUCGCGAAGGCGCUUCACUGGCUCAUUACUGACGCUCAGGGACGAAAGCUAGGGGAG
rnacentral:rRNA from 1 species